CUACGGGGCGCACCAGUGGGGAAUAUUGGACAAUGGGGGAAACCCUGAUCCGGCAAUGCCGCGUGUGAAGAAGGCCUGCGGGUUGUAAAGCACUUUCGGUUGGGAGGACUGCUUCUAGCACUAAUAUUGUUGGAAGUUGACGUUACCUUCAGAAGAAGCACCGGCUAACUCCGUGCCAGCAGCCGCGGUAAUACGGAGGGUGCAAGCGUGAAUCGGAAUUACUGGGCGUAAAGCGCGCGUAGGCGGCUAGAUCAGUCGGGUGUGAAAGCCCCGGGCUUAACCUGGGAACUGCAUCCGAUACUGUCUAGCUUGAGUACAGGAGAGGAGAGUGGAAUUCCACAUGUAGCGGUGAAAUGCGUAGAUAUGUGGAGGAACACCAAUGGCGAAGGCAGCUCUCUGGCCUGAUACUGACGCUGAGGUGCGAAAGCGUGGGGAGCAAACAGGAUUAGAUACCCCAGUAGUC
rnacentral:rRNA from 1 species